UGGCGAGCAACUGGCAUUUGAUAAGGUGAGAGAUCAUGUCAGUUAUUGUGAAGAGGUUGUGCGUUCAAAAAUUCCGUCGUGCGGCUAUUGAUUUGGAAAUUCUGGUAAUUGUGCUUGCUUCGUUGCUUGUGUCAAUAUAACAAUGACCUGCACAUCCGAUUAUCUUAUUAACAUGGUUUGGGUGUGUGAUCUCUUCAUUGUUUGUUUCAGAGGAUGUGGAGAGGAAGCAACAACGAUGGCAAGAAUAAUUUCUAGGAUUAAUAGGACGAUGGAUCCCGUACAGUACUCAUUUUUAUGCUGCACACUUGAUAUUGCUAUGGUAAAUCACCAUGACUCACUAAUUCCUUUACACAUUAGGCCAUCGAGUAUGAUUCAGUAUGAUGUGAAGGCUUACAUUUCACUCGGGAGAGGCUCUGAAGGAGAUAAUGGCAGGUCAGUUAAUUUAUUUCCUUUCAUGAACCUAUAUAGUGAUUUUACUAGAGAUUUAGCGUUAUUUUCUUUCAAGUUUUAUGGUAUCCACGUUGGACUGUAGGCUGAAUUUCUUCUUCCAAUAUUCCAGUGUUAAUGUGUCAAAGUGUUUCCUCUAUCACUCGUGGCAGAAUAGUUGGCAUCCACAUUUGAAUACCAUAUCUACUGAUAUUUCUUUACAAUUUCUUUUUUCCAUUAGGCAAAAUUAGCAUACGCACGUAUGGACUUGGUUAUCUUGCUAUAAUUUUCUGCACCUUUUUGUAGGGAUCCAUGAGGGGAGAUCAAUGCCAUGUUUGAGCUGCCUAAUAUGUGCAACAGAUGCAAAACAUGUCUUGAUUUGCCACCAUGUUGCAAUUACAAGAGUAGUAACUGAUUUAGUACUAUGUUAAUGCCACAAUUCCACGUUUUGAACAGGACAAGGUGACACUGAACAGUACACACUCAAAUGUAGAUUAACUUCGGCCAUCUCAUGCAGUCAUGCUUUGUAUACACAC
rnacentral:lncRNA from 1 species